rnacentral:rRNA from 1 species
UAAAACAUCCGUAGCUUGCUUCGUAAGUCGUGUGUGAAAUCGGGACUCUUAAGGUUCCGGCGUGCACACGAUACUGCGGGGCUUGAGACCGGGAGACGCAGGGAGUACAUAUGGGGUAGCGGUAAAAUGUGUUGAUCCUAUAUGGACUAACAAUAGCGAAGGCACCCUGCGAGAACGGAUCUGACAGUGAGGGAUGAAGGCUAGGGGCGCAAAGUGGAUUAGAUACCCAUGUAGUCCUAGCAGUAAACACUGCACACUAAACAUUGGGGCCUCCUCGAGAGGUUUCAGUGCUGUAGCGAAGGCGGAGAGUGUGCUACCUGGGAAGUAUAGUCGCAAGACCGAAACUUAAAGGAAUAGGCGGGGGAGUACUACAACGGGUGACGCGUGCGGUUCAAUUAGAUUCUACACCGUGAACCUCACCAGGACCGACAGCAGGAUGAAGGUCAGUCUGAAGGGCUUACCUGACACGCUGAGAGGAGAUGCAUGGCCGACGUCAGCCUGUGUCGUGAGAUGACCAGUUAAAUCUGGUAACAGGCGAGACCCACGUGUUUAUUUGCAAUGAACAAUAAACAGACUGCCGUGGUAACACGGAGGAAGGUAUGGGCUACGUUAGGUCAGUACGGCCCGAAUACCCUGGGCUACACGCGCGCGGCAAUGCUGCAUUCAAGGAGAUGCAACUCCGAAAGGAGAAGCCAAUCUCAUAAACUGCAGCUUAGUUCAGAUUGAGGGUUGCAACUCACCCUCAUGACGCUGGAAUUCGUAGUAAUCGGAUUUUAUCAGAGUCCGGUGAAUAUGUCCCUGCUCCUUGCACUCACCGCCCGUCAAACCAACCGAGUUAUGUAUGGAUGAAGUCAGCAAUGAAAGAAUCCAUAUAUGGUGAGGUAGGAAAAGUUGUCACAAGGUAUCCGUAGGGGAACCUGCGGAUGGAUCACCUCCUAA